rnacentral:rRNA from 1 species
GAGAAUAGUCUACAAUGGACGAAAGUCUGAUAGUGCGACGCCGCGUGAACGAAGAAGCCCUUCGGGGUGUAAAGUUCUUUUAUAUGUGAGCAAUGCUUUUUAUGUGAACAGCAUGAGAAGAGAGAUAUUAGCAUAUGAAUAAGCAACGGCUAACUCCGUGCCAGCAGCCGCGGUAACACGGGGGUUGCUAGCGUUGUCCGGAAUUACUAGGCGUAAAGGGCAGGUAGGCGGAUAGAUAAGUUUGAUGUUUAAGGCAGCGGCUCACCCGGUGUAAGGCAUUAGAUACUGUUUAUCUGGAAUGCGGUUGGGGAAGACAGAAUUCCUGGUGUAGCGGUGGAAUGCGCAGAGAUCAGGAGGAAUACCGAAGGCGGGGGCAGUCUUCCAUACCGUAAUUGACGCUGAACUGCGAAGGUGUGGGGAUCAAACA